rnacentral:rRNA from 1 species
UAAAUGUAAAUUAUUUAUUUAUUGAUAUUGCAUAUCAUUGUAAUAAAAUUUUAUUGUAUAUAAAAAAUAGAAAUGGGAGGUAGAAUAUUUAUUAGUUUUAUUGUUUCAUAAUAAUAAUUAUAAAUGUUAGUGUUGAAAAGUCGUCUUCCAUUAUAACUGUUUUAAAUAUUAUAUUAGAAAAUUAUAUUAUUAUUAUUAAUUAUUAGUAAAAUUAAAAGUUGAAGUAUUUUUAUUUCUGGUUUUAUAACUUAUUAUUUAUUUUGAGAAAGAUUUAUGUGAUUAUUUAUUAAAUUUUUAAUAAAUAUUUUAUUUACACAUUAGUAAAUUUAUUUUAAUAUAUCUUUAUUUAUAAUAUAAAGGGAAAAUUAAGAAUUUAAUCAAAUGUUUUUUAAAGACUUAGACUUUAUAUUAAAGUUUGCUUCUGCCCAGUGAUUUAUUAAAUGGCAGUCUUAGCGUGAGGACAUUAAGGUAGCAAAAUAAUUUGUGCUUUUAUUGGGUUCCAGUAUGAAUGAAGUUAUUGGUUAAUUAUUUUCUUUUUUUAUUUUUGAAUUUUUAUUUAUAUAAAAAAAUAUAAUUAUGAUUAAACAAAGAUAAGUCUUCGGAAAUUCUUUUUUGUUGUUAACGUGAGUUAAUAAUAAAAAUUUUCUAGGGCAGAAUUUUAUAUAAAUGUAUUUUCUAUUUUAUAAUUUUAAGAAUUACUCCGGAGUUAACAGAAAAUCAUAUCUAAUCUAGUUCUUAUAGUAAGAUAAGUUUUACAUCGAUGUUGUAUUUAAGUAUAUUGAGAAAGGAGAAGAUUCAAUAAUUAAGACUGUUCUUCUUUUAAUUAACUUAACGUGAUAUUAGUUUAAUUCAUUGUGAGAUAGAAUUAUUUAUCUUGUUAAUCAUUAAGUUUAAGAGUUAUUAGUACGAAAGGAAAGUUUUAAAAGUUUUAAACUUUUUAAGAUGAAAAUCUUA